rnacentral:rRNA from 1 species
UACGUAGGGUGCAAGCGUUAAUCGGAAUUACUGGGCGUAAAGCGUGCGCAGGCGGUCUUGCAAGACAGAUGUGAAAUCCCCGGGCUCAACCUGGGAACUGCAUUUGUGACUGCAAGACUAGAGUACGGUAGAGGGGGAUGGAAUUCCGCGUGUAGCAGUGAAAUGCGUAGAUAUGCGGAGGAACACCGAUGGCGAAGGCAAUCCCCUGGACCUGUACUGACGCUCAUGCACGAAAGCGUGGGGAGCAAACAGG